rnacentral:rRNA from 1 species
GGGGGGGGGGGGGGGGGGGGGGGGGGGGGGGGGGGGGGGGGGGGGGGGGGGGUGGGGGGUGGGGGCAGCGGCGGGGGGGGGGGUAGUGCCUGGGGGUCUGCCGGGUCGUGGGGGAUGACGUCCGGAGACGGGCGCUAAUACCGCAUGCGUCCUGGGGGAGAAAGUGGGGGAUCUUCGGACCUCACGCUAUCCGAUGAGCCUAGGUCGGAUUAGCUAGUUGGUGGGGUAAAGGCCUACCAAGGCGACGAUCCGUAACUGGUCUGAGAGGAUGAUCAGUCACACUGGAACUGAGACACGGUCCAGACUCCUACGGGAGGCAGCAGUGGGGAAUAUUGGAAAAUGGGCGAAAGCCUGAUCCAGCCAUGCCGCGUGUGUGAAGAAGGUCUUCGGAUUGUAAAGCACUUUAAGUUGGGAGGAAGGGCAGUAAGUUAAUACCUUGCUGUUUUGACGUUACCAACAGAAUAAGCACCGGCUAACUUCGUG